GAAGAAGGUAAGCAAGGUAGAGAAGCAAGAGGCAGAAAUGAUUCAAGGCAGCAGGACAGAGAGGUACUUGCUGAAGAUCUCCUACUGUUACAGCUCACCAUAAAAAUCAGCACUGCAGAAGCCAUUGGCAUUGCUGUCCUACAUUUUUGAGGAGAAAUGGGGAUCAAGUGAAACUGCAACCAUUCUUGGGAGGAGCCCUUAACUAAAUUCCAGACAAAAAGGACACAGUUGCUCUGGCAGAAAACUGAUGUAAAGGAGCACAUCUGUCAGAUGCAACCAUGAGUUCCAAUGAUGGGCUUCAUCUCACAGAGGAGCAGCACUACUCAAGCAAUGUCUAGCCUUGUCCUGGUUCUCCUCAGAACUCUGGUCAGCAAAGUUCACAUCCCAGCCUGGCUCUCAGCCAACAGGUCAUUGCAGCAGUAGCAGGGCUUGUGUUUGAAAGUUUGGGCUCUGGCCAUCCCCACCAGAGACUCAAAUGGAAUCUGAAAGCUGCAGAUCUGUCACAAGCACUUCCCCUUCUGUGGUUUCCUUGAUGCCUCCAGCUCAGCAAAACUGGGAAAUCCUGGCAUAAUAUCCCUGUCAUGAUGCACUCAUUUUCUCUCCUUGAAACUCUGGGUGAAUAGGAGAGAAGUAGCAGCAGGGACUGAGCAUUGCGAAGAGGAAAACCCUGUGUCACCUCAGCUCCAGCCCCACCUGUGUUCCCUCAGGCCCUGCAGUACCAUGAAGUUCACAGAAACAAAUUGAAGGAUCAUUUAUGUUGGAAAAGACCUUUAAGAUCAUCAAGUCCAACUGUUAACCCAGCAUUACAAAGUUCACCACCAAACUACGUCCUUAAGCACUACAUCUACACGUCUUUUAAAUGUGUUUAGGGAUGGUGACUCCACCACUUCCCUGGGCGGCCUGUUCCAGUCCUUGACAGCCCUUCCAGUAAAGAACAUUUUCAUAUCAUGCCCUGGUUCAAUGUGAAGCCAUUUUGUCUUGUUCUUGUUACCUGGGAGAAGAGAGCAACCUCCACCUCGCUACAGCCCUCCUUUCAAAAAGCUGCAGAGAGCAGUAAGGUCCCCCUCAGUAGGGCCUCCUCUUCUACCAUCAAAGAAACCUGUGGAAGAGAUUUUACAGUGACUUCUGUGAGCCAGAGAGAAGUUUGAUAAGAGGAUCCAUGUUUACCCCUGAAACAAUUUUCUACCAAGGUCGUUGACACAGAAACCAAGAAAGAAAUAAGGACAAAUAAGAGAAAACUGCAACUAUUCCAAUAGGCACCUUGUCUUUUGUGACCAAUGAGUAAAGUGUAAACUUAGGAGUUUUGUAAGAAUGUAUAAAAAGCAUGCAUGCUAUAAUAAAAACAGGUUUGAAGCCUUCUGAAAA